rnacentral:rRNA from 1 species
GGGCCCGCACAAGCGGUGGAGUAUGUGGUUUAAUUCGAUGCAACGCGAAGAACCUUACCAGGGUUUGACAUCCUGCGAAUCUCUUGGAAACGAGAGAGUGCCUUCGGGAACGCAGUGACAGGUGGUGCAUGGCUGUCGUCAGCUCGUGUCGUGAGAUGUUGGGUUAAGUCCCGCAACGAGCGCAACCCACGUCUUUAGUUGCCAGCAUUUAGUUGGGCACUUUAAUGGGACUGCCGGUGACAAACCGGAGGAAGGUGGGGAUGACGUCAAGUCCUCAUGGCCCUUAUGGCCAGGGCUUCACACGUAAUACAAUGGUCGGUACAGAGGGCUGCUAACCCCGCGAGGGGGUG